UCGUAAUUUAAAUGAUUUUCCAUUAACAGCUGAAAAUUUGCGCUUAUCUAGCCACAUAAAUUCCCAGCCCAUUGAUAUACAAAAGGAACACAAUUUAAUGCAAAAUAAUCAACAAAGAAUUUGCCGUUCAGCGGGCUCAUACACGGACAGUGAAGACGAACGUGAUUGUCAUUCAUCAACGGCAAAGGGUUUUUCUAAUUCAGACUCCAACUUAACACUGCAAAGUCAAAGUGGUCAUAUUUGAAGUUAAUCUUUAUGUGAUAUUAUAAUCUUUAUACUAAUUUUUUUGUUUUUGUUUUU